CCAAUAUUCCUUUAUACAUAUAUAAAAUAGCCAAAAACGCGUUUCGCCACACAGGGCUUUAUCAACUGGCAUUUCAAAGACUUUGAAUUGCCAGUUGAUAAAGCCCUGUGUGGCGAAAUGCGUUUUUGGCUAUUUUAUAUAUGUAUAAAUAAAUAAAUAAAUAAAGGAAUAUUGGCUAUUUUCUAUUUUGCCAUACACGGAAAUAAAUAUUUCUCCAUGUCCGCAUUGGUAUGGUGAACCCAAAGUGAGGCUUGAACCUCACUUUGGGUUCUUUGGU